rnacentral:rRNA from 1 species
UACAGAGGGGGCAAGCGUUGUUCGGAAUUACUGGGCGUAAAGGGCGCGUAGGCGGCCCGCUAAGUCGAACGUGAAAUCCCCGGGCUCAACCCGGGAACUGCGUCCGAUACUGGCAGGCUUGAAUCCGGGAGAGGGAUGUGGAAUUCCAGGUGUAGCGGUGAAAUGCGUAGAUAUCUGGAGGAACACCGGUGGCGAAGGCGGCAUCCUGGACCGGUAUUGACGCUGAGGCGCGAAAGCCAGGGGAGCAAACGGG